rnacentral:hammerhead_ribozyme from 1 species
AUCCAGAUGACGGGUCGAAAAAUAGGACGAAAUGCACAUCCUGGGU